UAUUGCUGUCUGUAUGGAAGGGAGUCAAUGGUAUAAGAAAUGCGUGUAUUACAUUGAGAGAAGUAUUACAUGGAGGCGAUUUCUUAUAAGAAGUUCGGGGAACUUCGCCUUUGGGAUGGCAGAGAGAUUGGUGUUUCUUAGAUCACAGUUUCAAAACUAAGAUAUAUACCGACAGGUAUAUAUAUAGAGAGAGAAAGAUAAUAAUGGUAAAAGAGUCCGUUUUGAGGAAUAGAUAAGUAAAGAGAGUACUUAUUAAGAAGCGCAAGAGGCACAGUAUUUUUACGGCGGAUUAUUAUCAAGUGGCAUGCUCCAUUGACUCAUUCCAUCAUAUCAGCGAAGGGAAGAGAAAACUGUAAGUCCUACCAAAUGUAUGGGGACUCGCCCUCAGAGAAUGUGCUUUCCCAGAAAAAGGUAGUUUUAGCCUCAGACAGUUAGAACAACUGAAACUUAAUUUGGAGACAAAGGAGAGAGAGAGACCCCUAAAACAAAGAGCGAAGUGCAGUUUUUGGCUGUCUGGAAGGCAUUUGCUUAAUGGCAGAGCGAGGCACAUAAAAGAGAGAAAAAAUGUCAGGCAGCGCCCUCAUCUGUUUCUCAGUGUGCUAAAUUGCAGAAAGCCGAUCCCGACCUGGACUCUGCCCCACCGCGAUGCCCACAGCCAGUAAGGAGAGAGGAACCUGCAGUUUCAGAGGCACCACCUCACGAUGAAGCGGCCCAGCCUACGCCACUCCAUCCGAACCUGUCAGAACUGAGCCACCAACCCCCACCGAACUAUGCUCCAGCCGUCCUAGCUUCACCGGUGGCGUUACACACAAGAUCCCAAGUGAAGGGACCAACAACGUUGCUGCCUGAGGGCUUCAGACCAACAAAAUCGGACAGAGAAGGGACAGUGCAUGCCGUGGUAAAUGCCCCAAUGCUACAAGUGGCCAGAGAAGGAGGCCCUAUGCUAGUUCACAGACCCUGGACAUUGGAAGACAUCAGGAGCAGCAUGAUGCAUCUGCUGGCGCUCCGUGAAGUAGGAGGACGAAAGUUUGGGGAUGAACUUCAGAUAUUCUGCAGACAAUUCAGAUCAUGAACUACGACGACUGCUCAUGGCGAAACUUGGCACGGACUGGGUCAAGGUUUCACGUGAAUUCCCAGAGAACGAUGCCCGCCUGAUCAACCCACAGUGGGAUGAUGGAGUCAAAGCAAGGUACAGAGCACAAAUCAUGGCGCUCCAGCAGAGGCUGAUGAACACCUUUCCUGUGCGACUGGACAUGACAAAAAUAGCGAUGUGUAAACAACAAGACUCAGAGACUGUAUCACAGUACCUGUCCUGGUUCACUGAGAUCCAUGACGCAAACUCAGGCUUGGAGAAACCUGACGCUCUGGCAGAUGGGCUAGGCGGCCAUCACAGCAUGGGAGACACAUCUCAGAAACAGCUUUAUGAACGGCAUUAAACCAGUAAUUGCUGCUAUAAUCAAUCAACAAUGUAUCACCUGGGACACCGGAAACCUCACACAAGUGGAAAGGUAUGCAAUCCACAUGGAGAAGCUCCUACGAGAGGCAAAGGAAAGAAAGAUGGAGAGGAGAGGAAGACCAAAAGCAUGCAGACGAGGAAGACCCGGCCGUCAGGGCUAUGGACCAGGAUUAAACUGUUACAACUGCAGAAAAGUUGGACAUUUUGCUGGAGACUGUCCAGAGCAGAAGCGAACUGACAGGUGGAGUUAAGGGAAGGGUGAGGCACCUGGGAACAAAAGAGGUGACAUCAGACACCCAAACUAUCAGUUAGCUCACAAAGAACAGUAAUAUAUGCACACACCCACAUACAACAUUAGUCAGACUGACAAUUCACAAAUGUCUGAACCAGUCAGGACCCUUAACCUUUUAAAGUAUAAUGCCUCUCCUUUUACACAGUUACUAUGUAUAUCUCUUGUAGUUAAUGGGCAAAAUGUCACAUUUUUGGUAGAUUCAGGAGCAAUGUAUUCAGUAAUAAAACACUGUGACUUAAAAGAAUCCCCAAAGACGACUUCACGGUCACUGCACUCCAUGGGUGUAACAGGGCAUUCAGUAUUGGACCUAAUUUCGUCUUCAUGUCCAGUCAAUCUACUGGGCAGGGACUUAUUGUGUGUUUUACACUUAAAUUUGAUGUCCCCACCUCAGGGAGUAACAAUAACUGACGACUCAUCUUUGGGAACUCCAUUUGUUAAAGAAACAGAGCUCUGUGUUUAUCAAUGGUCCAUGCAUAACAAGCCUAGUGCUUGUUGACAUUGGCACAUGAUAAGAUGAAGGACAACUAUGUUGAUUUUAUGUUGUCCUCUGUCCUCCAUUGCACAGCGCAAGUGCAUGAAGGAAAAGACUUUAAUUUGGAGAAAGAAUGGUUUAUGAAUAUCCCAGAAAGUGAAGAGCUGUACCUAUAUUGGUGUGACAAAUUUUGUGCAUGUUUAGUCAAAUUGAGUGACACUCAGUUGCGUGCAUUUUUAGUCCCAGAAUCUGCGCCCCUUGUCUCAUUAGCCAAAAUAAAGAACAAACAGUAGAAAGACGUGGGACCGUGGGUCAGAUUAUGUGAGAGUGGGAAAAUUACAGAUUGGGAACAGAAACCCAACUUGUGGUACAGCCCGACACUGGGAGUUUAUAAAAAAUUCUUUCAGAAAAUGUGCAAGGUUAACCGGGAUGUUAUUUGUCAUGAAAAGAGAAUGUUUCUGAGCCUUGGGACAAGCCCCACACCCCUAGAGACACACCCACAAUUGAAGAAGGUACCUCUCGGGCUGUGGACCCAAGGGAAACAUGAUGUAGGCCUGAUUAGAAGUGCACCACCAGUCGUGAUCACGCUCAAAUCUGACUUUAGGCCCAGACAAUCUCAAUACCCUCUUUAAUCAGAAGCUAUUGAGGGCAUUGGACCAGAUUUCAAUUCAUUAUUGAAGGCAGGGGUCAUUGUUACCUGUCCUGAUUCGUCAGUGCGCACUCCAAUAUUUCCAGUGUGAGAAGCAAAAAAAACCCCAAAAAACCCUACAACCUGAUGAAUGGAGAUUUGUACAAGAUUUGCAAGCGGUUAAUGCAGCAGUCAAACAGAGAGCUCCAGACGUGCCAAAUUCUUACACUAUAUUAAGCCAGGUUCCAGCAAAUAGCGAAUGGUUUUCAGUCAUAGAUUUAGCUAAUGCGUUUUUUCAGUAUAUCUCUUGAUAAAGACAGUCAGUUUUGGUUUGCGUUCAUAUUUGAUGGACGUAUUUACACUUUCACUCGCUUGUGUUAAGGAUAUUGUGAGUCACUAACGAUAUACAACCAAAUGCUAAAGGACAGCUUAGCACCUCUACCACUUUCUCCAGGGCACAGUGUGAAACUGACACACUGACACACUGCACUAUGCAAAUGUGAUGCACACACUAACAAAUUAGACCAUGUUUUCCUAGGAAAGCUUGAGCAGACAGUGCAGCAAAGCAAGCAGCUGCAGCUAUGGUCCCAAAACUCAAAAGAAAAUAAUCACUCCUUCUUUACAGCUUUCAGACCUCCAAGCACAAGCUAUGGACGAGGAAAAGGCUGUGUGGCGCAAAGCAGGCUACACGGUUGUUGAUGGAGUUUGGCAAUGCCCCCAGGGCCGUCCUUGUCUUCAAAGUUGAUGCAUGGCAGGGACCAUGCGGCAAAAGGGGGAAUGAUAGUUACAGUAAAGCAUUGGUUUCUCUAAUUACUCUAAAAAAAACAACAACAAAAAUUGUUUACGCUGUUUUCGGAACUCAUGAUGUGGGUUGAGGUUCGAAGGUAGAGAAGGCCAUGUCCCUAUGUCCAAACAGGACUCAGACGCUGUAGCAAAGGUGUUGCUUGGAGAAGUAAUUCCUAGAUGGGGAACUCCCACAAAAAAUCUCCAGUGAUAAUGGCACACCUUUUGUGAACCAUGCCCUUAAGUAGGUGGGUGAAUAUUUGGGUAUUGACUUAAACAGCACUGUGCAUAUCAUCCAGCUAGUGGUGGGGUGGUAGAGAGAAAAUGGGACACUAAAAAAACAGAUUGAGCAAAUACUGUUCUGAAGCAAGCUUAGGAUGGGCUUAGCCCCUUUGGGAUACUGUUUGGGAGACCUCCACACACAGGAAUUGGACCUGUGACAGCACCUCUUCCUGACGCUGCAGCGUGUGAUGAUGCAAUGUUAAAUUACUGUGCAACCCUGUCCUUUGCUUUGCACUCUAUCCACAAGCAGGUAAAGGCAGCACUUCCAGCUCCAGCCACGGGUCCGCUGCAUGAUCUAAAGCCUGGAGAGUGGAUCAUGAUCAAGGACUUCCGCAGGACCAGGUGGAAUAAGCCAUGGUGGUCUGGGCCAUUCCAGGUUCUCUUUGUCACUCAUUCAGCAGUGAAAGUCAACCAGAGAGCCACAUGGAUGCGUGAAAGCCACUGAAGGAGGGUGCCAGAGCCGAGCAUUGAGCUGGAGAAGACGGGACUUCGACAGGACGACUAGAAAGUGAUUCUCUAUCAAGAGGCCUCUAGGAGGACCUACGCUCACGAGCAACGAUCUGCAUAUACACACCCACACAACGUCACACGUCCCCUCGUCACACAGUAUUCUAUCAUUGAACGCAUGCGGUCUGCAGUACGCAACCCUCUGCAGACUAGUGAGACGGGGUUUGAUUGGCUGAAUUCAGUACUCGGGGGAUGGGGCUCGUGGAUAUUAACCGUCUGUCUACCAAUAGGUGCAAUAAUUCUUCUUGUCUUGCUCAUUUUGCCUUGUAUAGUUUCUCUCGUUCGGAGCAGUCUCUCACGCUCAUUGAAAUCACUAAUGGCCAAAUGCUGAUGUUGGCAAAGACUGAUUACUAUCCCUAUGAUGACCAACCUGACUUGUAUCCUAAACCUGACGGGGUAUCAGAUUCUCCCAGCGACACUGACGAUGAUGACCCAUUGACAUCCAUUUCACUCCUAUUGUAAAUAUUCCUUUGAACAUGACGAUUCUCAUUUCACCCUAAAUGAGCUUGCUUGACUACAGACUACUUUAUAUCCGCAAAAAACCCUUAGUGCCUUUAUUAUUUCUUGUUUAUGAUGAAUUCAGUUGAACCGUGAAAGGAUUCUGAAGUUCUGAUGUACUCACAGCAUAGUAAUUUCUCUGUUAACUUUAGUUAUCAUAUUUUUUAAUGAUAAAAUGGGGGAAAUGUGAGGGAAAUUACUCAUUUUUACUUUGUAAUAGUUUUGUUCUUGUUCUAUUUCAUUCUCAUCAGAGGAUAACGCCUAAGAAGGCCAUGUCAUGUCACUGAGAUCAGUACAGAAUGUUUAUCUGCUUACAGAGACACAAACAUGUUCUUCUGUUCAAGGUUCGUCUGUCCAAGAUCCUAAAACAAAGCCUGUUUGAACUGCCUCAAACUGCUUCUUAUCGGUACACAGAAUUAUGUGAGGCUCUGCGUUUCAUAUAUAUAGUAGUGGUUUAGUACAAGGGCUUCAGAGCACUCUCAUUAUUCUAUCCUGCUUUAUUCUAUCCUGUAUUAACCAUCUAUCUGUAAUAAACCUUUUUACCUUCAGAGGACAAGUCUGCGAGUGUUGUCUAAUUUCCACGACAAGUGUCACUUAAAAACGACGUCAAUUAAUGAUGAUUGUGUUCAGCUGGAUUACCUCACUGCACUUCAGGGAUAUGCCGUUAUGCCUUUUUUUUUUUUUGGAUGUGCUGUUAUGUUAUUGGAGCUUGGUUAAUAACAACAUUCUUAAUAAAUCAAAAUACACUGAUAGUAUGUACAA